rnacentral:rRNA from 1 species
AACGGCGGCCGUAACUAUAACGGUCCUAAGGUAGCGAAAUUCCUUGUCAGGUAAGUUCUGACCCGCAUGAAAGGCGUAAUGAUCUGGGCACUGUCUCAACAGCCCGCCCGGCGAAAUUGUAGUACCGGUGAAGAUGCCGGUUACCCGCGACAAGACGGAAAGACCCCAUGGAGCUUUACUGUAGCCUAAUAUUGGGUUUCGGUGUUGCAUGCACAGGAUAGAUGGGACGCUGGGAAGUGAGUGCUUUGGCAUUCAUGGAGCGGCCGUUGGGAUACCAUCCUUGCGACAUUGGAAUUCUAACCUGCGCCUUUGAAUCAAGGCGGGGGACAUUGUUAGGUGGGCAGUUUGACUGGGGCGGUCGCCUCCUAAAGAGUAGCGGAGGCGUUCAAAGGUUGGCUCGUCCUGGACGGAAACCAGGAGAGAGAGUGCAAACGCAAAAGCCAGCCUGACUGCGAGACUGACGGGUCGAGCAGAGACGAAAGUCGGAGUUAGUGAUCCGGUGGUAUGUGAGUGGAAAUGCCAUCGCUCAACGGAUAAAAGCUACCCUGGGGAUAACAGGCUGAUCUCCCCCAAGAGUCCACAUCGACGGGGAGGUUUGGCACCUCGAUGUCGGCUCAUCGCAUCCUGGGGCUGUAUUCGGUCCCAAGGGUUUGGCUGUUCGCCAAUUAAAGCGGUACGCGAGCUGGGUUCAGAACGUCGUGAGACAGUUCGGUCCCUAUCUGUCGUGGGCGCAGGAUAUUUGAAAGGCGCUGUCCCUAGUACGAGAGGACCGGGAUGGACGAACCUCUGGUGCACCAGUUGUCACGCCAGUGGCACAGCUGGGCAGCUAUGUUCGGAUCGGAUAAACGCUGAAAGCAUCUAAGCGUGAAGCCGGCCUUAAGAUAAGAUAUCCCACUGAGAUAAUCAGGUAAGACCCCUUGAAGACUACAAGGUUGAUAGGCACAAUGUGUAAGUGGCGUGAGUCAUUGAGCAAGCGUGUACUAAUAGGUCGAGGGCUUGACCC